rnacentral:rRNA from 1 species
GACGUAGGAUGCGAGCGUUGUCCGGAUUUAUUGGGCGUAAAGAGUUCGUAGGUGGUUUGUUAAGUCUGAUGUUAAAGACUGAGGCUCAACCUCGGAAAUGCAUUGGAUACUGGCAGACUGGAGUGCAGUAGAGGCAAGUGGAAUUCCCAGUGUAGCGGCGAAAUGCGUAGAUAUUGGGAAGAACACCAGUGGCGUAGGCGACUUGCUGGGCUGUAACUGACACUGAGGAACGAAAGCCAGGGUAGCGAAUGGG